rnacentral:rRNA from 1 species
GGCUGAAACUCGCCUACAUGAAGUCGGAAUCGCUAGUAAUCGCGGAUCAGCAUGCCGCGGUGAAUACGUUCCCGGGCCUUGUACACACCGCCCGUCACACCAUGAGAGUUUGUAACACCCAAAGCCGGUGGGGUAACCUUUUGGAGCCAGCCGUCUAAGGUGGGACAGAUGAUUGGGGUGAAGUCGUAACAAGGUACC